UACAGAGGUCCCAAGCGUUGUUCGGAUUCACUGGGCGUAAAGGGUGCGUAGGUGGUGAGGUAAGUCGGAUGUGAAAUCUCCGGGCUCAACCCGGAAACUGCAUUGGAAACUACCUUGCUUGAGGAUUUGAGGGGGGAUUGGAAUACUUGGUGUAGCAGUGAAAUGCGUAGAUAUUCGCAAGAACACCAGUGGCGAAGGCGGCUCACUGGCCCGAUACUGACGCUGAGGUGCGAAAGCGUGGGGAGCAAACAGG
rnacentral:rRNA from 1 species